AAUAACAGGGGAGCUUGUGAAGGCAGGCUGAGAACGGAAGCUACAGUCCGGACCCGUAACCUGAUUUGGAUAAUGCCAACGUAGGGAUAUAUUGAU
rnacentral:ncRNA from 1 species